UACGAAGGGGACUAGCGUUGUUCGGAAUUACUGGGCGUAAAGCGCGCGUAGGCGGAUCGCUAAGUCAGGGGUGAAAUCCCAGGGCUCAACCCUGGAACUGCCUUUGAUACUGACGAUCUGGAGAUCGGGAGAGGUUGGUGGAAUUCCGAGUGUAGAGGUGAAAUUCGUAGAUAUUCGCAAGAACACCAGUGGCGAAGGCGGCUCACUGGCCCGAUACUGACGCUGAGGCACGAAAGCGUGGGGAGCAAACAGG
rnacentral:rRNA from 1 species